UGGCAAGUGCUCUGCCAUGGCGUCCCUCUCCAUCGCCACUACCCUUCCCCUUCACUUCCCGUGCCGUCCGCCCACCGCAGCCACCGUAGGCGUGACGCCUGUGAUAUGCGGCCCGCGAGACAACCGCGGUAAGCUCCUCCGCGGCCGGAGCCUCACCACGGAGGCCAUCCUCGCCGUGCAGGCGCUCAAGCGCGCCGCGGCCGCCGGCGACGAUCCCAAGGUCGAUCGGAUUUUCGCCUCCGACUUCUCCCGCCUCGUCAAAUCGGACCUCCUCGCCGCCCUACGGGAGCUGCAGCGCCAGGACCAGUCGCGCCUCGCCUUGAAAGCCUUCGCUGCCGCCCGAAGCGAACCGUGGUACCGCGUCGAUCUCAACCUCUACGCCGAGAUGGUCUCCACCUUGUCCAGGUGCGGAUCGCCGCACGAGAUCGAUACCCUGGUCGCCGAUCUGAUGGAGGAGGAGGGAUGGCUCUCCGCGGACACCGCCAAGGGUGUUCCCCGACUCGUCAGGGCUCUGACGGCCGCCGGAAGGGGAAAGGUUGUGGCGAACGUCUAUAGGGAAGCAAAGAGAUGCGCGUUCGAGCCGGAUGAGUACUUGUUCAAGUUCAUGAUAAGAGGAUUGAAGAGAUUGGGGCAAGAAGCUGCUGCUGCGGAAGUGGAGAGAGACUACCAGUUAUGGCUUGAAUGCGGAUGCUUCCCUGUGGAAACGCUGCCUGUUUGAUGAAAAGCCUGGUACGCGUUUCUUGCUCGAAUCCUUUUCAUCGUUUUGUUUGAUCCCACUCAUUCAUAUAGCAUCGUGAUCAGGGGCGGAUCCAGGAUUUGAAUAUUGAGGGGGCCAAAACUUGUGUCGCUAUAUUCAUUGUCGAUUGUGUGGGAGAAUUUAGAAUUCAUUACAUAUUUAGAAAACUCCGUGACCUAAAUUUUCUAUUGGUAGUUUGAUAUCAAUAUCUCGAAAUAAUAUUGUGACAUUGAAAUAAGCUGUCGGUCCUUGUUUCACAUCGGAGCUACAUGCGAACUUGUUAGGGUACUCUAAUUACUACAUCAAGUUGAAGCGUCUGAGUAUUCGAAUUGCUUUCCUCUCACAUUCGUGGCAUUCUUCAUAUGCAGGUACUCCUUAUCUAUUACUCUAUUUGCCAUCAAACAAAAAUAUAUAUAGCUUUCACCUACUCAACUUCACCUGUAGAGCCCAAUAAAUUCUUCACUGUUGACCAACAGAGCUCGAUGUUUUUCAGGGGGUCUCUUUGUUGAUCGCAAAAUGCCUCUAUUUGGCAUCCUAUCAUCAAUAUAUACACUAUUUCCAUUCCUUGAAUUUUGUAAUAGCAGAUCUAGAGUCUGUCAAUGUUUUUCUUUGGUUUAGUUUAUCCUUUGUUGAAUAUUCAUUGUAUCUUAUUCUUUGGAACACUCCAGUCUAGAAGAUAUGGAGUCUGUCAAGUCUGCAACUGAAGAGUAGAGACUUCCUCCACACUAUCAGCACCCUACUUUUAUCUUUCUCGUCAUUAGCAACCUCAAUGCCACUGGCUAUGCAAUAUGCUUCAGUGUUCGGAUAAACCUUCACCAUGAUCCACCAACUUCUGGUUUCUCCGGACGGCAAUUUCGAAGAGAUAUCUCUGCUUGAGUCUCUUCAAAUUUUGCUCGUUAGAAGAGAGCUAAAAGCAAGGUUGAUCCAGGAUUUACACAUGGACUGGGGGGGGCCGUGGCCCCCCCAAGUCCCCAUGUAAAUCCGCCUCUGAUCGUGAUCUCGAAGAAUUGCCCGAGUUAGUUGAACUGGAGAUCAAAGCAUGAUAGUUCUUUGAGACUCUUUGUAAUAUACGUAUGCAAGUAUGGUUCUUUGUAACAUUGUGAAUUUGGUUGUCAAUCUUUGAGAUUCUUGCUCAA